AUUCCUUGCUGCAAUGUAAUUAUAUUUAAUUACAAGUGUGCCCCUGGUAGUCUUUAACUGAAGGGCACUGACUGGGUCACUGGUGAAGUUCCCCGCAGGAACUGAGUCAGACCCCAUCUCAGGGCCCUGCACAAGAUAGGUGCCUGCUCUAAGGCGUGGACCCUCGCCACAGCCCUGGCCCGUCUUGACGGGCGAGGGUUACUGUACUUGUCCCAACCGUACAGAUGAGAAAGCUGAGACUCAGGGCCAGCAACCCGGGUCCCAGCGGAGCGCCCGGCACACGCCGACACUUCAGCACCAGUGGCGGUGGCCACCACUGUGGGCGGAGAUGGCUGCGACGCGUGCGCAGGUGAAAUGGCCACCAGACCCAGGCUUUCUGGAAUGCAUUCAUUUUCUGCAGUUGAAAGGGACAAUCCCGGAUCUGAAAGAAAGAGCCACAGUGACUCCAAGAGUGGAGCCAGGGCAUGCUGGACACUGCAUAGCUAUGGCCACGUGUGUCACCUCCGAGGGAGAUGUGAGAGAAACGCAGAGGGAUCGCUUGUGACUGUGCCUUCUCGAUGUAUGAUGGACUGUUCUGCUCAAAUAGCAGCAGUAGGGCUUAUGGGAGCCAUUGUACAGUGACAGGAACAUACCAGGACACUGAGAAUAGCGUCAUGUCAUAAGGACUCAGAGCAGGUGGACCCUGCUGUGAUGCACAAAGGUGAGGGUGCAGCUGCCCAGGACACACUCAUGCAUGUUUGUGUGGACCAUGGAAGAUGGCAGGGGAAGAGCUGUCAGGUUGCUGGGGCAGAGGGUGCGCAUGAGUACUCGCCUGUAAGUCAUGUUGUAGAAUCACCUCGCACAGCCGCUGUAUCUUCCCACCAGCAUCACCAGAUAACUCCUUUAUCGUCACUUCAGUAAUGCUUGAUUUUGUCUGACUUUUUUAUGUUUACCAGUUCAGAUAAAGAGAAUUGCACUCUCAUCAUUGCUAUAAUGUACACUUUUUUGACUACUAAUGAGUCUGAGAAUCUUUAGAUACAUUUGUUAGUCAUUAAUGUUUUUUCUCUCUCUUUUUUUCUGUUUUUUGAGAUGGAGUCUUACUCUGUCGCCAGGCUGGAGUGCAGUGGCAUGAUCUCGGCUCACUGCAACCUCUGCCUCCUGGGUUUAAGUGAUUCUCCUGCCUCAGCCUCCUGAGUAGCUGGGGCUACAGGUGCCCCCCACCACACCCAGCUAAUUUUUGUAUGUUUAGUAGAGAUGGGGUUUCACCAUGUUGGCCAGGCUGGUCUCAAACUCCUGACCUCGUGAUCCGUCUGCCUCGGCCUCCCAGAGUGCUGGGAUUACAGGCGUGAGCCACCGCGCCCGGCCAUGUUUUCUCUUCUUAAUCUGUUUGUACUUUCAUUUACUUUUUCUUUCUUUUUUAAUAAGAGGUUUUUAUUUUGGAUAUCAAUCUUUAUAUCUUCAAUGAUGUUGUGAAUAUCUUUUUGUUCCCACUAGCUUUUCUUACAAACUUUUAUUCCUAGUGU
ensembl:lncRNA GLIDR glioblastoma down-regulated RNA